GAAGAAUUUGUGUUACUGGGAAA
rnacentral:piRNA from 1 species